AUUGAACGCUGGCGGCAGGCCUAACACAUGCAAGUCGAACGGUAACAGGAAGCAGCUUGCCGCUUUGCUGAGGAGUGGCGGACGGGUGAGUAAUGUCUGGGAAACUGCCCGAUGGAGGGGGAUAACUACUGGAAACGGUAGCUAAUACCGCAUAUCGUCGCAAGACCAAAGAGCGGGACCUUAGGGCCUCUUGCCAUCGGAUGUGCCCAGAUGGGAUUAGCUAGUAGGUGGGGUAACGGCUCACCUAGGCGACGAUCCCUAGCUGGUCUGAGAGGAUGACCAGCCACACUGGAACUGAGACACGGUCCAGACUCCUACGGGAGGCAGCAGUGGGGAAUAUUGCACAAUGGGCGCAAGCCUGAUGCAGCCAUACCGCGUGGAUGAAGAAGGCCUUCGGGUUGUAAAGUACUUUCGGCGGGGAGGAAGGGAAUAAAGUUAAUACCUUUGCUCAUUGACGUUACCCGCAGAAGAAGCACCGGCUAACUCCGUG
rnacentral:rRNA from 1 species